AGAACGACUGAGUAGUGCGCAAAAAAACUGUGUCAAAUAUUGUCUCUCAUGGAAAAACUGCUGUCGUGCUUCGUUGACGUACUAGCUGUCAUUAUCGUUAUAUGGCGCUGCCAUAAUCUCUACCGUACUUUAUAAAUGGAUCGCCAAUAAAGAGUGCCAAAACACCAUCAAUACAUAUGAAAGUGUUGUGAAAUGAGAAAAAGUCUGCAAUUCAGAAUCUUUAAAAAAUUCUUUUCAGUUAUUACUCAUUCGUAAGAACGAUUUUGUCAUCAGAUUGGUAGACUACCAAUGGUAGUGGAGCUUCAACUUUGUUAGUUGUAUGUGCAGUUCGCAAUUUGAAUAUGUAUUCAAAUGUAUAUGAUUCUCUAAUCAAUUCAAAGACUCCAAAAAUAAAAACAUAUGUGGUGGUUCAUAUGCACAACAGAACACAUAGCAACCAUGAAUGUUUCACUAUAUCAGUCGAUAGAUAUUGAUGGCUUAUCUUAACUUUAAUAGGAAUUUCACUUUCAGCGUAAUAUCAGUAACUCGUGCCAAAUCUGAUAAGAGAAGUGAAAUCGAUACGUCGUAAUUGAUAUUAUGGAGCAAAAGUGUUUCAACUGUCAUUGCAAACAGUUCAACAAUUGACUGUUCAAUGACCAAUUCUUUUCAUCAUAAAAUUUGUUGAAACAUUUUGUUGGAAAUUCAAUUUCAAUCUUCCAUAAUGAAGUUCAAUUUGAUUAUCGUGCUAGUUCAUACGGUUUGUAUAGCAGCUAACAGUGAAAGUGGCACAAAAGUUGAAGUGAAUCCUCGAAAAAUCGCUGAAGAUGGACAAUUUCCAUUUCAAGUAUCAAUACGAUCAAAAGUCGAGGAUUGCCUUGGAUGUGGUGGCGCUUUACUCAAUAAUCGAUUCAUUUUAACAACUGCCUAUUGUGUGUAUGCAAAAAAAACCUGAACGGAUUUAUGCAAUUCUGGGAAUAUUUGGACAAAACGAUGAUGGUCUUCGAGUUAACAUAGAAAAUAUUAAAGAACAUGAGUCAUAUAAAUAUUAUUCGGAAGAGAAUAACUUGGCGCUAUUGCGAAUAGUUGAAGAAAUCAAUUUUUCACAUCGGAUACAACCAGUACAAAUGCCACCUUCAUACUGGUCAGAUAGUAAUUAUGGAGAUUUUGAGGUAUCUGGAUGGGUUAAUCUGGAAAUGGAAUAUAAGUUGCAAUACUAGGAUGCUAUAUGUCAGCUUCGGACCCAUCGCUCAAUUCUUCUCACUUUUUUUGUGUUGAAACACUGAGUUUCUAUCCAAGGCCAGGAAGUCUUUUGACUUUUCGAGAAUCUUACUUGGUUGGGAUAUCAUCACAACCUCAUAAUUGGAAUGCAGGUGAUGCACUUUAUUUUCGAAUUCAUAACGUUUUACAAGAAGCAAAGCUAUCGAGAUGAACCUAAUCUUUUUGAGAGAUUGGUCUUUAUUUUUCCUGUUUCAAAAAAUCAACGCGAAUCCAAACGAUUUUUCAGAUCUAAUAUUUUUUACAUUUUUCUUUUAGAUUCACAUUUAAUUGACAUUUUUUUAACUGAUUACAUGUAAUAAUAUCAGAUGCCCAUACUCGUAUUUCAACAUUUCUUCCAUGGAUUGAAGAAAGUUUAGAGCCUAAAGAAAAGAGCCUAGUGAAAAUGGUUUUGAUUGUAGGAUUUUCAGGAACAGCGUUGAUUGUGGUGGUGCUUCUACUAGUCAAAUACGUUAAACGUGUAAAUGGACGAAGGCGCCCAGAACCAUCAACAACGACAACGCCAGCGACAACAACUUCCAUACCUAUAGUGUCAAGUAUAAGUUAUAAUGCUCCCGAACACAAUGUUCCAUCCGCACCACCAUCAACUCUAUAUCUGACAACACCUUCAUCAGUUUCUCCGCCAAGCUACGAUCAUUUGUUCCCAAACAAACCGGAGUUCAGCUCACAUCCAUAUAAUCAACGUCCAGUUUAAGUGAUCCGAUUAUGCCAACGUUUAAAAAAAGAGUUCGAUUUUUGAGAGAUCAUUUAUACCGAAAGCAAGUGAUAAGCAUGAUAGGACGUGAUAACAACUCAAUACAUUCCAUGAAAUUAAAGAAUAUUCCUAUUCGAUUAUCGACUAGUAUAACGUUUUUAAAACAUUUUUUUUGUUUUUUGUUAUCACUGUUUCGCUAAAAAUGGAUUAACGAACAAUUGACGAACACAUCCAAAUAAAUAGGAAAAAAAAUGGGACACUUGUUGGAUAAUAAUUGAAAUUGUUGAAAAAUCGGAAUGGAUUGACAUUCUCAGUUUUCCAUCAAUUAAAAACUGGCAAAAAUAUCUCUAGUUCAUAAUGAAAGUGUUGUAUAAAGUAUAAAAUAGAAAAUC